GAUACAUUAGUUUAAUUGGUAAAAUAAUUGAUAAAAACAAUAGUUAAAAGUUCAAGUCUUUUAUGUAUCA
rnacentral:tRNA from 1 species